UACAGAGGGGGCAAGCGUUAUUCGGAAUUAUUGGGCGUAAAGAGCUCGUAGGCGGUCUGUCGCGUCCGUUGUGAAAACUCGAGGCUCAACCUCGGGCUUGCAGUGGAUACGGGCAGACUAGAGUGCGGUAGGGGAGACUGGAAUUCCUGGUGUAGCGGUGGAAUGCGCAGAUAUCAGGAGGAACACCGAUGGCGAAGGCAGGUCUCUGGGCCGCAACUGACGCUGAGGAGCGAAAGCAUGGGGAGCGAACAGG
rnacentral:rRNA from 1 species